CGCGGGCGCCGCGUGUGAGCGUUUGUGUCGAGUAGUUCUAGUGUCUUGACGCUUCGGGUUGACCAGAGGCGCUGGACAAUGGGCAGGUGCUGGGGGAGUAAUCGGAGCUGGGGCGGGUAUUGCCUGGGGUCCUGUAGCAAGCUCUUUUGUGUGAGAUGAAGCGAACAGCUGUCAGCUGACGGGAAUCCCUCAGUGCUCCGGAACAUUUUCUAUGACAAGAAGUUGAGAAGAUAAACAUUGUCUAAGAAGUUGGUGAUCGAAAAGAUGCUGUUUAAAGGUUUCUAGAAACUUUGUUACUCAGGAGGAAUGAAUGGGGGAAAUAACAUUCAAGGAUGUGGCCAUUGACUUUACUCAGGAGAAAUGGCAACAAUUGAAACCUGCUCAGAAGAAUUUGUACAGGGAUGUGAUGUUGGAGAACUAUAACAACAUAUUAACAGUAGGCUGUCAACUCAAAAAAACAAAUAUCAUUUUCAAGUUGGAGCAGGAAGAAAAGCCUGAAGACGAAUGGCAGAAGAAAUGUCAAGAUGUUCAGAUGACACUGGUGAAGGGAUGGUAGUUUCAGCAUUGUAUAACUGAGACCUAAGC